rnacentral:rRNA from 1 species
AACGAACGCUGGCGGCAGGCUUAACACAUGCAAGUCGAGCGCCCCGCAAGGGGAGCGGCAGACGGGUGAGUAACGCGUGGGAAUCUACCCAUCUCUACGGAAUAACGCAUGGAAACGUGUGCUAAUACCGUAUACGUCCUUCGGGAGAAAGAUUUAUCGGAGAUGGAUGAGCCCGCGUUGGAUUAGCUAGUUGGUGGGGUAAAGGCCUACCAAGGCGACGAUCCAUAGCUGGUCUGAGAGGAUGAUCAGCCACACUGGGACUGAGACACGGCCCAGACUGCUACGGGAGGCAGCAGUGGGGAAUAUUGGACAAUGGGCGCAAGCCUGAUCCAGCCAUGCCGAGUGAGUGGUGAAGGCCCUAGGGUUGUAAAGCUCUUUCACCGGUGAAGAUAAUGACGGUAACCGGAGAAGAAGCCCCGGCUAACUUCGUGCCAGCCGCCGCCGUAAUAC